rnacentral:tRNA from 2 species
GGUAGCGUGUCCGAGCGGCCGAAGGAGCGCGCCUCGAAAGCGCGUGAGGGGGCAACCUCUCCGUGGGUUCAAAUCCCACCGCUACCGC